rnacentral:lncRNA from 1 species
GAGAGAGACCCAACUCAUACCCUGCCAUGCAGGCUGGGUGUGAGGAGUGAACAAGAUGCUUCUGAAGUGCUUGCAACAAUGAGGAGCCCAAAUAUUUUCUCUAUCUUUAUGCCUCAAGUGUGCAGGCAUGCUUCUAAACAGCGGUUUCACACCUCAAUCUUGUGACUGGAUUGUAUGUAUAUUCUUUGGAUAGUUAUUCAAGGUUGGUGACUUCCUGAAGACACCAGAGAGUCCAAUACAACUCACAGAGGGCCUCUGUAACUAUUUACUGAGAACAUCCUCAUAGCAUCUCCCCACCCCAGCCUGCCCAUCCUGUCACACAGCUCCCUUUAUUCUCUGCCACCUAUGACCUUUUAUGCUGCUCCAGUAUUUCCUUUGGUUUCCCACGGAUCAACACCUUUAAAGUGCAUUCUUGGUGUAUGGCUGCUUCCCAGUGGCUGUAGACAUGAAUCGCAUGAUGAAAUCUCUAAGCUGGAAGAUGUCACUACGCCCCCCUGCCCAGAAUAAAAGAUCAGAUUGAUGAGGAUCAAGCAUCUCAUCAUCUUGGUAUGUUGAAAUCUUAGGCAUCGUUUCAAGGCAUUUUUAAAGAGGACAAGACACACAUUCAAAGAAUAAGAGUAAAGAAGGGUGAGUAUUUUAGGGUGAAGAGGAAAUGGAUCUCUUCGAAUUUCUGCAACUCCCAGCACAGCUGCAGAGAGCAG